GAUGAACGCUGGCGGCGUGCCUAAUACAUGCAAGUCGAGCGAACAGACGAGGAGCUUGCUCCUUUGACGUUAGCGGCGGACGGGUGAGUAACACGUGGGUAACCUACCUAUAAGACUGGGAUAACUUCGGGAAACCGGAGCUAAUACCGGAUAAUAUUUCGAACCGCAUGGUUCGAUAGUGAAAGAUGGCUUUGCUAUCACUUAUAGAUGGACCUGCGCCGUAUUAGCUAGUUGGUAAGGUAACGGCUUACCAAGGCAACGAUACGUAGCCGACCUGAGAGGGUGAACGGCCACACUGGAACUGAGACACGGUCCAGACUCCUACGGGAGGCAGCAGUAGGGAAUCUUCCGCAAUGGGCGAAAGCCUGACGGAGCAACGCCGCGUGAGUGAUGAAGGUCUUCGGAUCGUAAAACUCUGUUAUUAGGGAAGAACAAACGUGUAAGUAACUGUGCACGUCUUGACGGUACCUAAUCAGAAAGCCACGGCUAACUACGUG
rnacentral:rRNA from 1 species